UUGACCUCAAAUCAGGUAGGACUACCCGCUGAACUUAAGCAUAUCAAUAAGCGGAGGAAAAGAAACUAACAAGGAUUCCCCUAGUAACUGCGAGUGAAGAGGGAAAAGCUCAAAUUUAAAAUCUGGCAGUUUCACUGUCCGAGUUGUAAUUAG
rnacentral:rRNA from 1 species